UGGCUCUCGCAUCGAUGAAGAACGCAGCGAAAUGCGAUAAGUAAUGUGAAUUGCAGAAUUCAGUGAAUCAUCGAAUCUUUGAACGCACCUUGCGCUCCUUGGUAUUCCGAGGAGCAUGCCUGUUUGAGUGUCUUGAAGUCAUCAACCCCCUCCGUUUCGCACGGGACGGGUUGGACGUGGGGGCCUUGCCGCCGCUAGGCGGCUCCCCUCAAAUGCUUCGGUUGGGCCUGUGGGUCGAACUCGACUGGGCGUUGUACCAUCCUCGCUCGACAGAGACGUUCCCCUCUCGUGCCCUGCCCCGACCUGCCUCUGCCAAGGGUGGCGGUCACAAGCAAAGCUUUGAAAUCUGACCUCAAAUCAGGUAGGACUACCCGCUGA
rnacentral:misc_RNA from 1 species